AGGUUUAUCUAUCUGGGUAUGGCUGUGUACAGUAGCAGUUUCCCUAUGAAGAGCUGGGAGUUGAAGGCUGGAUUCAUGAGGUCUGCAGGGUUUCACCUGUGAUGGAUUCAAGUGCUUUUGCUGAAACUUGCAAAAGAAACUGUUGGGUGAUGCAGUGAACUGCAAACCUAUUGCUUGCAUCCAGUAGGGUUAAGGACCAUUGGAAGUAUCCUCUUGCCAAAGGGAGCCAAUUUCACUGGUUUAGGUGGUGGAUAUGGCAAAACCUCCUGCUGACACCAUGGCAAGUUUCCAGUUGUUGAUCCUGCUUUUAUUACAUUUUGUCCAAGUUACCAGGCUGGAGUCCAUUGAGCAGAGGCAUUUUAUGGUCUCGUGGAAGUUGCAGCAAGUUAUUGGGGUCCUGUCAAGAUUGGAAAGCACAGGUUCCAGGGUUCCAGUGAUGCUGGAUUAGUGUUCUUCCCUGAAACUACUGGAUACAGCAAAACUGCUAACUUGGGGACAUCCUAGAAAGUGGAAGGCCUAUAGGAACC